rnacentral:rRNA from 1 species
AUGCUGGCGCGUGCUUCCUUUGCUGAUGUGGUUAGUCUGACCCCUCCCGCGCGGCCAAGGCUCCUCUCUCUGGUGGUUGCCCCGGAGCAGGCUGCCAUCCGACCGCCUCCCUCCUUGGAACCGCGUCUUGAUGGCCCUCGCCAUGCUGCUGCACCCCAUGCUGGGUCAGAUGCGGAGGGCUGGCAAGUUGUCUGUAGGAGGGGCGGACGGCAUGGGCAUGCACUUCCACCUCAGGAAGAAGCAUUCAUGGCGCACCAACGUGCUGCUCCCGACAUUAAUGGCGGCGGCGGCGGCUAUAAGGUAGACCUCUUCGGCCGCUGUUUCAGAUGCCUAGACCCCAACCACAAGGUCGCUGUCUGCCGCAACCCAACGCGCUGCCUCCACUGCCUGCGAGAGCGCCACACUGCUCGGUUCUGUCACCGCAAGCACCUCCCUCGGGUUUCGUUGUCCGAGCUUGACAGACCGCCUCCCAGCCCGCGGCGUCAAGGCCAGCCCCCGGUGCACACAAGGCUGGUGUUCCCGCCGGACCACCCUGUCUCGACCCACGCCCCGGUUCACUCGCGUCUUUGCUUCCCUUCACAGAACGCCGAGGCAGCUGCUGCGCCUCCGCCGCCGCCGCCGGGUCCGGACGUGGCUCCUGCUCCGGGCUCUGCGGUCAUGGACACCAACCAUGUCCUGGCCUCGGCUGCGCGCAGGGCUAGGAGGACCAAGUGCCUCAUCGACCGAGAUGCUGAGGUGGAGGCCGAGGAGCUGCGUUUGCGCGGGUCCGCCCUGAUGCUCUUCGUCGCCGGCUCCCGCCCUGCCCUGCUGCCGGCCAACAUCGCCGAGAGCAUCACCUCGGAGUUCCCGGACAUGCCAGCGACCGCGUUCCAGGUGUCGCUCUUCCAUGAUGGGUUCUUUGUCCGCUUCUUCAACGACCAAUGCUUUCGCGCCGUCGCCGACAAGAACAUGCUGCACUUCCAUGGCGUCCCCAUCAUUGUGCGUCGUUGGACAGGCCUCUCCUUCGCCACCUCCCACGCCAACCGCUACAGCGUGCGCCUGCUCCUCGAGGACCUGCCGCCGCAAGCUUGGUCCAUCGACAAGGUGCAGCGUAUGCUGCCGGAGUGCCUCAUCUAUCGCGUCGCCGCAGAGUCUCUUGAUAAGGAGGAUCUUUCCUACUUCGUUGCUAUUGCAUGGGUCGAGGACCUCGAGGAGGUGCCCACGGUCGCCACACUCACCGUGCGCGGUGAUCCAAAGCCAUGCUCAAACCCCCUUGCCCAUGUCUCCAUGCCGGUGGGCUUCUCGGAGGACGGCGACAUGGACGAGUCUUGUGCCUGCACCGACCACAUCCCGCGGUUGCUCCAUCAUAAGGUGCUGGUCCAUCUGGACUCGGCGGCCUUCUACCCGGCGCGGCCGGCCGGGGCGAUACGACGGUUCGAGCCGCGUGGCGACGGCGACGACCAAGGGGGUGAAGACGACGGCCCAGCUCCGGAGGAGCACCCGCUCCCUUGGGCACGUGGGUUUGCCGACGACGACUUCAGACGGUACCGUGAGGCCCAGGUCUUGCCCCUCCCCGAGCACCGCCACGCACGCCGCGGUGGAGGAUCACGCUACCACAGUAUUAUUGCAGCAGACGGUGGUUUAGCGCACCCUCUGCUGCUUGCCUCCUGCACUAACGGCAUCCCUGUGCCGGCAGUUUCGGCCAUCAGGGACGUUGCUCCGGCCUCUCCACGGCUUGACGACGUCCGCUCUAGCCCUGUGAUGCAUGUUGGACCAGUUCCUGACGUGCCGUCCGUUCCUCCUCUGAAGCCAAGCCAUGCGCUUCCAGCUCCGACAUCUGGCGAGCUCUCCAGACAAGAUAGCAGGGCUGACAUGCAGAUUGCCCUGCCCAUGAUAGGCACUCUGCGCGAUACUCCUGUGCCCUCGGAGUCCAGCCUGCUUCUUGCCCCUCUUGUGCCUGCGCAGUUGGCUGAGUCGUCGCCCCACCGGCUGCACGAGCCUGGUCAAGAUGUAGGACCGCGCGUGCUGACCCUGCCAGUUAACCACGACAUGGCUGAUGACUUCCUGGCGUCCGUGGAGCCGGUGGACCCGCAGCAGACCGUGUUCAAUGGGGAGGUUUGCGCAGAUGUGGCCCAGACAAUAUCGCCGGUUCACUCGCUGGCCUCCCGGCCCUUGGGCAGCUUGCGGCUAUCCAUUGGGCUGGGCUGCGCGUCGGGGCCUGAUGCGCAAACACCCGACCGGCCACCUACUGAGAGUCAGAUCGCCCUGCUGAGUCAGAGCACCCUCUCGCCGCCCCCAAACCCGAUUCAGGAGCUUAUCUCCAGGCUCACUUCCCCUGUCUCGGCACCGCUCCUCGCCGGACCAAGAUCCACCCCCAAGCCACACAAGCAAAAGCGCCAGUGCCGGCCGCCGGCGACGGCCACCAGGCGGAGCCUAAGAGUCCAGGGCAGAAAAGAUGCGGUCACUGGAGGGGGUAACACCUCCCUUCGGCUUGCACGGCGGCUUCUCGUUGGCAAGCGUGGUCUGGCCAUUGCGGAGCCGGGGGAGGAGGAAGAAGAGGCACUAGAGCGCUACAAGCUGACCUUCAAGAAACCCCUCUCCGACAGCCAAAUUAACGCCCUCUCCGCCUUGGCCAAAUCGGCCUCUGUCAGGUCUGGCCGGAAGGGCGGGUAUGCUUGA